rnacentral:rRNA from 1 species
UACGGAGGGUGCAAGCGUUAUCCGGAUUCACUGGGUUUAAAGGGUGCGUAGGUGGGUCUGUAAGUCAGCGGUGAAAUCUCCGGGCUUAACCCGGAAACUGCCAUUGAUACUAUAGGUCUUGAAUUAUCUGGAGGUAAGCGGAAUAUGUCAUGUAGCGGUGAAAUGCUUAGAUAUGACAUAGAACACCAAUUGCGAAGGCAGCUUACUACGGAUACAUUGACACUGAGGCACGAAAGCGUGGGGAUCAAACAGG